GCGGUAAUACCAGCAGCUCAAGUGGUGGCCGUUAUUAUUGAGCCUAAAGCGUCCGUAGCCGGGCUAGUAAAUCUUUGGGUAAAUCGGGCAGCUUAACUGUCCGAACUCCGGAGACACUGCUAGUCUUGGGACUGGGAGAGGUCGGAGGAACUCUGAGGGUAGGGGUGAAAUCCUGUAAUCCUUA
rnacentral:rRNA from 1 species